UUUACGUCUUGUAAUAUAACGUCGAAGUAGUACGCAUCUGGGUGUUCGUCCUGUCAUAUAACGUUGAAACAACUCGCAUUCUUGGUUUCGAAUCAACUUUGUCGACUAUGGACCUUUCUUUCACAAGUAUCCUGAUCCAAAUCCUGAUCAGAAGUUUAGAAAAUAAAACGACGAAAAACGGCUCGAAAGGAUCUUUCGAAUUACAAUAAGGACGUGACAGCUUGAGACAGAUCGUCCGCUCCGGAUCAGGUGGGCAUCGGUACUUAUUUAAUAGAAAUGGUAAUACACAAAAGAACAAAUAAAAUAAAAGUUGGAGCGAUGACAGGGAUGACGGCGCA